UGGCAUUGGCGCUCUAUAAUGCAGUCGACGGAGGUAUGUAGCAAUACGUAUCUUAGUGGCGAACGGGUGAGUAACGCGUUGGUGACCUACCCCAGAGAGGGGGAUAACAGCUCGAAAGGGCUGCUAAUACCCCAUGCCGUCAUGGCGCUUAGAAAGCCAUGUCGAAAGGUGCAAACCGCUCUGGGAGGGGCCUGCGUCCCAUCAGCUAGUUGGUAGGGUAAUGGCCUACCAAGGCGACGACGGGUAGGGGACCUGAGAGGGUGACCCCCCACACUGGCACUGAAACACGGGCCAGACACCUACGGGUGGCAGCAGUAGGGAAUAUUGCACAAUGGGCGAAAGCCUGAUGCAGCAACGCCGCGUGCGCGAUGAAGGCCUUCGGGUCGUAAAGCGCUUUUCGGGGAGAUGAGGAAGGACAGUAUCCCCGGAAUAAGGAUCGGCUAACUACGUGCCAGCAGCCGCGGUAAAACGUAGGAUCCGAGCGUUAUCCGAAUUCACUGGGCGUAAAGCGCGUGCAGGCGGUUCGGUAAGUUGGAUGUGAAAUCUCCUGGCUCAACUGGGAGAGGACGUUCAAUACUGUCGGACUCGAGGAUGGUAGAGGGAGGUGGAAUUCCCGGUGUAGUGGUGAAAUGCGUAGAUAUCGGGAGGAACACCAGUGGCGAAGGCGGCCUCCUGGACCAUUCCUGACGCUCAGACGCGAAAGCUAGGGGAGCAAACGGGAUUAGAAACCCCGGUAGUCCUAGCCGUAAACUAUGUAGACUUGGUGUCGGUGGUGUAAAAACCAUCGGUGCCGUAGCUAACGCGUUAAGUCUACCGCCUGGGGACUACGGCCGCAAGGUUAAAACUCAAAGGAAUUGACGG
rnacentral:rRNA from 1 species